AAUGAACGCUGGCGGCAGGCCUAACACAUGCAAGUCGAACGAGGCAGCAAUGCCUAGUGGCGGACGGGUGAGUAACGCGUGGGAACGUGCCCCUUGGUACGGAAUAGCCCUGGGAAACUGGGAGUAAUACCGUAUGUGGUCGAGAGACGAAAGAUUUAUCGCCAAGGGAUCGGCCCGCGUUGGAUUAGGUGGUUGGUGGGGUAAUGGCCUACCAAGCCGACGAUCCAUAGCUGGUUUGAGAGGAUGAUCAGCCACACUGGGACUGAGACACGGCCCAGACUCCUACGGGAGGCAGCAGUGGGGAAUCUUAGACAAUGGGGGAAACCCUGAUCUAGCCAUGCCGCGUGAUCGAUGAAGGCCUUAGGGUUGUAAAGAUCUUUCAGUGGGGAAGAUAAUGACGGUACCCACAGAAGAAGCCCCGGCUAACUCCGUGCCAGCAGCCGCCGCAG
rnacentral:rRNA from 1 species